UUAAACAAAAUUUAAAUAUUUAUAUAUAUAUAUACAAAGUUUAAGAACAUUAAAAAGAUCAAAAUCAGAAUUAGCAACUAGUAAGAUAUAUCACGAAUAGGCAUAUAUAGAUAAAUAAAUAAAUGAGCAAAUUAAAUAAAGAAACAUACCUGAAAACAAAUACAUAAAUUAAUUAAAUAAAACUAGAUAAAUAAAACACGUAAAUAGUUAGUAUAUCACAGCACAGUACAACACAGUACAGUACAGUAUAUACGAUAAUAUAUCAUAGUAUAGUGUAGUAAAACAUAAAAAAAAAAAAAAAAAAAAUUAAUUAUUAAUUUUUUUUAAAAACUCAGUAUUAUAUGAGCAAAAAACUGAACUAUUUUUCACCAUGUUUAGUUAUUUUUCAAGCAGUAAAAAUAAAAUAUGUGCUAAACUAAACUUAGCUAAUAAUAAAAUAGAAGGAGAAAACAGUAAUGUUAAUAAUAAAAAUGCUGUUAUUGAUAAUAAUGGAAAUAGUAACAAUAGCGAGGAUAAUAACUAUAUAAACAAAAUGGAAAGCACAACAAAUAAUAAAGAUGAUAAUUCAUGUUAUGACAAUAAUAAAAAUAGUAAUAAUAAUGAUGGUGAUAGUGAUUAUCAGAAUGUAAAAAAAAGAAAGAAAGAUUUUAGUAAUAAAGAAAAUAAAACAUAUGACGAUAAAAAAAAAGUGCAAGAAGAAUAUAAUAUAAAAUAUGAAGAAAAUAAAAAUUUUGAUAGGAAUGAAAUGGAAAAUAAAGGAAAUAAUGAAUCAACUAAUAUUUAUGAUCAAAUUAAUGUAAUAGAAAAAAUAUCUGAUAUGUCAAGUGAAAAUGAUACUAAAAGAAAAUAUGAACAGUCUGAUGUUCAGGAAAAUAAUGCGAAAACAAUGAUAAAUGAAGAAACAAGUAGUGAUGAAUAUAGUGAUAAAGAAAGAAGCAGAAAUCAUUACAGAAGUUCACAUAAACACAUAAGCAAGCAUAGGCAAAAAAUUAGAAGCAAAAGUAGGAGCAGGGAUAAACACAGAUAUAAGAAACAUGAUACACAUAGACAUAAAAGAAGUAGGAGCAGAAGAAGAGAUAGGAGCGCGAGCCGAAGUAGAGAUAGGGACAAGUACAGACAUAAGCAUAGACAUAAACACGGACACGGACACGGACACGGACACGGACACAGACAUAAACACGGACACGAACAUAGGCAUAAACACGGACACGAACAUAGGCAUAGACAUAGACACAAAUACAGAGACAAUAACAUACGUAGGGACGUAAGUAGGGGCAGAAGCAGAAAUGUAAGUAAAAACAUAUAUUAUUCGAAAAGUCCGUAUAAUAGUAAUAGUUUUAGGAGCUAUGAACAUACUGAAAAUUAUAAAGAAGCUAUAAGAAAAAGUAAUUCAAUGGGAAGUAAAUCAAGUAGCAGUUAUGAAAAACAUUAUGAUAAAAACAACAGAAAUAUAUUAAUGCAUAAUGGUCAACAGAAAAUUGAUAAUAAAUUAAGUGGGGAUGAUGGUGAUGAUAAUAAUAAUAAUAAUAAUACUACUAUAUACAAUAGUAACAAUAAAACUUUAAAAAAAGAUAUGAACACAGAUGAUAGUUAUGUUAACUCAACAUAUAAACAAAAUAAUGG
ensembl:lncRNA